UACGUAGGGGGCAAGCGUUGUCCGGAUUUAUUGGGCGUAAAGAGCGUGUAGGCGGCCAGACAGGUCUGCUGUGAAAACUCGAAGCUCAACCUCGAGACGCCGGUGGAAACCGUCUGGCUAGAGUCCGGAAGAGGAGAGUGGAAUUCCUGGUGUAGCGGUGAAAUGCGCAGAUAUCAGGAAGAACACCCGUGGCUAAGGCGGCUCUCUAGUACGGUACUGACGCUGAGACGCGAAAGCGUGGGGAGCGAACAGG
rnacentral:rRNA from 1 species